AAUUCUUCGACUUGUUUCCACAAAUAAAACAAAAAAAAAGUAAAAAAAGAAAAAACAAUCUUAUUAGGUUUUUCUCUCAUCGAUCGAUCUCUUCUCUCUUCCUCUUCUCAGAUCUCCCAUUUACAGACAAAAAAAAAUCUAGAAACAGAUCGUCUGAUGCAUCGGCGCCUUCGUCAUCGUGACUUCUCGUCUUUUCUCUGUCGUCGUUUCUCCUCGUUUCCAUCCUCCCAUUUACUCGUCUCCGUCACAACCUCGCUCUCUCUCUGCUCUCUUGUCUCCGGUGGCAAGGCGGAGCUUCGUCGAAGGCGGCAGCGAAGCUUCUGAUUUUCUCAAAGAGUUUCUCAGCCGCUGUGGCGACUCUCUUCCCUUAUCGACCGUGAUGAGCUCUCUCAUCCCUCAGUGUUGAGACGGAGAGAACAGAUCCGGAGGUGGAGAGAAAGAUCCGGAGACUGUGUGAAAUUGGAGAAUGAACAAAUAAAUUGGAGGAUGCACAAGAGGCUUGACUAUGGAGGGGACAAGGCAUGGUCUCGGCGGCAAUGGUGCAAGGCGUGGUCUCGAAGCCAGGGUAUGAGAUUGGAUUUUCAGGAGUAAUAGAGCUUGUUAAGGAGUUCAGUGACGAGGUUAAAGAGCAAGAAAGUUUGCACCUUUGGAUGAAUCUCGAACUGAUCAAAACACUGGCUUGUUAUGCUCCGCUUCUCUGCGGUUUCUCUCUGUUUCUUUUUCCUUGUGUUAAGUUCUUAGUUAAAGGAGGAACUAUAUAAACAGAUGUCUACACUUCAAGAUAUCGGUGUAUCAGGAUCGGAUAGUUUCUCCACCUGAAGCUUCGAAGUUGGCCGCAAAGUACACAGGAGAAGGGUUUAAAACCCUGAAGCUCAAGGUGGGGAAGAACCUUAAGGUCGACAUAUAUGUUCUCCAGAGACUUAGCUUUAGGUUUUAUAUUUUUGGUGGUCAUGGCGAUGAUGGUGAAGACUUAGCUUUAGGUUUAUGUUUUUAGGUUUAUGUUUGGUUUAGUUAUGGUUUAGAUUUUUGGUUUUGUUUUUGGUUAUUUUGUAAACAAUUUCGAUAUAUAAAAUUCUUUUAAAAAUAU